CUGUUAUGGUGGGAUUCAGUCACUAACUAGCAGUGAAUGCUCUUAAAUUUUCAUUAUUUUAACUGGCCUGUAUUUUCUCUUGCCAGGGCACUUCAUUUGGAGGUUCCCCAGCAAGAGCCCUUUGGCUCUGUUUGACAGUCAGUCUCUUUCUCUAGAGGGUUAAGGGAGUUACCGUCUCUAGCCAGUAGCCAUUGACAUGAUGUUCCUCGGCCUCGGACCUUGGUAACUCACUUUUGCGGACUGGGUGAGGAGACUAAAUUUCACUAAAUUGACUUUGAGCAUUCUGGAAACCGGUUCAAUUCUGGGUCUCUGCUGCCUCCCCGCCUCAGCCUGCUGGAUAUGGACCUCCAACCAGGUGAUUGGAUCAUGACCAGAAAAUUUCCUCAUGGCUCUGCAUUGGAACUCCGCUGGAUGGCACUCACCAGGUCAUUGUCUCCAAUACCUCAGCAGUAAAGUAGCCCACCAUAAGGCUUGGAUCUAUUGUUUGCAUGUGAGGCCUUGCCCUGCUCCUGACAUUCCUGUAGGACCCAACUUAGGAAGAUGAUGUUUUUAUAUCUUAUGCUAUUUUAUGGUCCGAUCCUCCCUCUUGCUUCUCCCACCCUAUUGGGGAAGUCUAGCCACUAUUCUCCCCAUAGAUAUGUGUAGAACCUAAUAAAAACUACUGGGGGGGGCGGUGAGACUUAUGGGCAGCCAUGGUUCUAUCUGGAUCUGUGCAAACUCUUGGGAAACUUUUGGCAUUUCCCCCUCUCCCACCAGCUGUGUUUUAUAACACUCAUAUAAAAAGAUCCCUCCAGGUUAAAGGGAAUGGAGUUUGGGAACUUGGCCCUCCCCUCAUAUGGAUGUGCGUCCUUAAGCAUUGAAAAAGGGUUAAGGAAAACCCAGUACUAUAUGUGCCUAGUGGAGAGACCAUCUGAGUGUCAGGUGUUGGGCCAGUACUACUGCAGAUCAUGGGGCUGUGAGACCAGAGGAUAUUGCUUCUCUGAGGCAGGCCAGGACUCCUACAUUAAGGUGUAUAGAUUAACACUACCACAACAAUGCCAAAAGGAAGGCACCUGCAAUUCCAUUGUAGUCACAAUGAAUGAAUGGUACUAUGAGGCCUGGGGAUUGGGAAGGACCUGGGAUAUCAGAUUUUAUGUGGCAGGAAGAGAUUUGGGAGCCCUGUUCACAAUCCAAAGAAGGACCCUCUUGAGGGAAAACAUCCCCAUAGGUCCUAGUGCAGUUAUUAAUCCCCCCUCAUUUACUACUGAGACCAGCCACAACUCUCAUCUGGGAGGGGAAACCCUGACAGUUGUCCCACAUGCCUUCAGCCUCCAUUCCCCUGAGGACUGCUGUCUCCCUAUGAGAGCUUUAUGUCAGUUUUUGUUGGAGUAUACUGGCUGAUAAAUCUGAUUAGCCCCGCCCUUGCCACAAGCUAUUUGCUCUGCCUGGACCUGGUGUCCCCUUACUUUGUGGGCAUAGGCGUAAAUGCCACCUAGGAGACAGAGACCCACUAAAUACUGAAUCUUUCAUUCUGGCCCGAGAACCUGCCCCCAGAGUACACUACCCACGUUCCCAGAUUACCUUUGGGAGGGGUAGAAGGUGACGUGUGGUACAUCAAAUUGGAAGGCUAUGAUCUGGAGCCUCCCUGUAUAAAAAGCAUUGUAUAGCAGUAUUGAGGUUCCCCCACAGAAGAAUACCGUAACCUCCCUAAUAUGCGUCCCAACAGGGUCCUGUCUUUGCAUGUACCAUGGGAUUAACCCCUUGUAUCAGUGAAUUGUGCUUUUUCCUUGGUAGAAUCUCUUUGCAUGCUCAUAUAUGGAUUCCCUAAGUGUAUUUAUAUUCUGAAGAAGGGACCAAAGAACAUUUUGGUCUAUUGCAUAGGGCAAGGAGAGUUGCUCCUAUUCUAGUUCCCUCCUAGUGGGAAUGGGAAUAGCAGCUCCACAGCUGUUGGGACAGAUGCCCUGAUCCAUGGUGAUAGGCCCAUAUUAGCCCUGGAUUCCCAGGUGGACCAGGAUUUAAAGGACCUGGAAAAUCAAAUAUCCUUCUUGGAGAACUCCCUAAACUCUUUUGCAGAGGUGGUCCUACAGAAUCAUUGGGAACUAGAUUUACUCUGUCUUAAGUAAAGAGGGGUAUGUAUGGCCCCGGGGCAGCUUGCUGUUUUUAUGUUAACAACUGGGGGUUAUAAGAAAGUCCCUAUCUGCAGUCAGAAAGCAGAUUGAGGAUCGAGAGACGGCUCAACACCAAUCGAUGUUUUGGUAUCAGUUACUUUUCAAUUGGUCCCCUGGAUGACCUCCCUUUAACUUACCUAAUGGGCCUCUUACUCUAUUUCUGCUGGCACUACUAAUUGCCCCUUGUUUGAUUAACUAUUUAAACACAUAUAUGAGGAAGAGGACCCAGAUUGUUAAGUUGUUUGUCACCAAAACCACUUACUCUCCCAUGGUCUCUGAUGAGUCCAGUCUCUAAACAGUCACAAGAAAAGUGGGAGUGAAAUGGAUGGACACCCCUCUGGAACAUGAGAAACAUAAUCUUGAAACUUUGUAGUUAGAAGUUUGUUACUAGCUCUUCACACCCUAAUGCAGAUGGUAUUUUUACACCCCCAGAUGUGCUGCCUUAAAAAAACCUAAGAUCUUGACUGACAACUUGAUAAACAUAAAGAAAUACUGUCUUAUUGCUUGUCUGGGAAUGGCACCCUUAGUGUGAUAAUCUUUGCCUCCUGUCUAGGUUGAAAUUCUUUUAGUAUGACAAAUGUAUUAGGGAACUUUAAUGUUUCUUUCUAUAAAUAAGUGUCUCUGAAAUCACUUGAUAAUGACUUCCCUGUUCUGGGGGUGGGGAGGUGGGGUUUCUGUUGCUAGUUAGCAAUAAACACUCUUAAAUUUUCA